CUCCUCUAGUCUAGGCGCACGAAGGGAGUUGCUCCUAGGUCUUGUCCGUGCCGGGUUCGCUUUUCUUUCCUUCCCGAAGCCUGGCCCUUAGAUCUACUAUCGCAGAGUCUGCGGCCGCCAGGAAGCCCAGAUUCGAGUGUCCGGAGAGUAACCGGAAGUGCUGUCCCCAGGCCUAGGGGCGGCGCCGGCGGCUGCCAGGGAGAGGCAAGAAUUGAGUGUUG
rnacentral:lncRNA from 1 species